GUGCUCGCUUCAGCAGCACAUAUACUAAAACUGGAACAAUACAGAGAAGAUUAGCAUGGCCCCUGGCAAGGAUGACACGCAAAUUCAUGAACUGUUCCAUAUUUUU
rnacentral:snRNA from 1 species